UCCCCACUCAUAGGAAAAUUAAAACACAGGAAAGCAGCUGGAUCAGCUACUGCCUUUCACUACAGUUACCAUUUUAGGUUAUGGAUCAAGGUUGAACUGUACAGAGAGAGUGCAGCCACAAGGCUCUGGCUGUGCCGGGCCUCCCACCAGCCUGGGCCCCAAAGCAGCCCCAACUGUGCCUGGGUCUCCUCCAUCCUGGGCCCCAAAGCAGCCCCAACUGUGCCUGCUCCUCCUCCAUCCUAGGCCCCAAAGCAGCCCCAACUGCGCCCGGUCCUCCUCCAUCCUGGGCCCCAAAGCAGCCCCAACUGUGCCUGGUCCUGCUUCAUCCUGGGCACCAAGAGCCUGGCUGUGCCGGGGCUCCCUUUGGUCUGGGCCAAGAGCAGGCCUCAACUGUGCCAGGCCCCCCUCCAGCCCAGGCCCCAAAGCAGCCCCAACUGUGUCUGGCUACCCUCCAUCCUGGGCCCCAAAGCAGCCCCAACUGUGCCUGCUCCUCCUCCAUCCUAGGCCCCAAAGCCUGGGCAGUGCCGGGGCUCCCUCUGGCUCUGGGCCAAGAGGAGGCCUCAACUCUGCUAGGCCCCCCUCCAGCUCAGGCCCCCCCAGUGCAGCCCCAACUGCACCUGGUCCUCCUCCA
rnacentral:lncRNA from 1 species